rnacentral:rRNA from 1 species
UACGUAGGUGGCAAGCGUUGUCCGGAUUUACUGGGCGUAAAGAGCGCGCAGGCGGUUGUUUAAGUCGAAUGUGAAAGCCCCCGGCUCAACUGGGGAGGGUCAUUCGAUACUGAUCGACUUGAAGGCAGGAGAGGGAAGUGGAAUUCCGGGUGUAGUGGUGAAAUGCGUAGAUAUCCGGAGGAACACCAGUGGCGAAGGCGAGUCCCUGGACAACUUCUGACGCUGAGGCACGAAAGCUAGGGGAGCAAACAGG